rnacentral:rRNA from 1 species
GACGAACGCUGGCGGCGUGCCUAAUACAUGCAAGUCGAGCGCAGGAAACUGACGGAACUCUUCGGAGGGAAGGCAGUGGAAUGAGCGGCGGACGGGUGAGUAACACGUAAGGAACCUGCCUCAAGGAUUGGGAUAACUCCGAGAAAUCGGAGCUAAUACCGGAUAGUUCAACGGACCGCAUGGUCCGCUGAUGAAAGGCGCUUCGGCGUCACCUUGAGAUGGACUUGCGGUGCAUUAGCUAGUUGGUGGGGUAACGGCCCACCAAGGCGACGAUGCAUAGCCGACCUGAGAGGGUGAUCGGCCACACGGGGACUGAGACACGGCCCAGACUCCUACGGGAGGCAGCAGUAGGGAAUCUUCCACAAUGGACGAAAGUCUGAUGGAGCAACGCCGCGUGAGUGAUGAAGGUUUUCGGAUCGUAAAACUCUGUUGUAAGGGAAGAACACGUACGAGAGGAAAUGCUCGUACCUUGACGGUACCUUACGAGAAAGCCACGGCUAACUACGUGCCAGCAGCCGCGGUAA